UAAAAGGACAGACUCCAUUGGUGCAGCACA
rnacentral:piRNA from 1 species